rnacentral:tRNA from 1 species
AGAAGAUUAGCUCAACGGUAGAGUUCUCGUCUCCAAAACGAACGGUUGAGGGUUCAAAUCCCUCAUCUUCUG